rnacentral:lncRNA from 1 species
UAAGUCCAAUUGGUUAAGAUGUUGUCUCCGAGGGCUCCAACUCCCCCUCCAUCACCCUUCACCCUUCCUUUGGAAUUAGGUGCUGUUUGAAUGACUCCUGGCGUUUUGAAAUCUGGUUUACAGAAAGGAAUGAUGUCUGGGAAGAUGCUACUCCCACUGUGUGUGCAGAUGAAGCAUCGCCAUGGUAGGAACCCCCGGGGUGAGUGCCAGCACACAAAAUGGAUAACACUGGAGAUGCCCAAUGGUCAUCAGAGAAGCGCUGUAGCUGGGCAUUCAAGAUUCUGAGAGUUUACCUGGCCCCGCGAAGAAGAGGAAGGCUUGAUUCUCUUAAUCACACCUCAGACCAAUGGAAUUGGAAAC